GAUGAACGCUGGCGGCGUGCCUAAUACAUGCAAGUCGAGCGAACAGACGAGGAGCUUGCUCCUCUGACGUUAGCGGCGGACGGGUGAGUAACACGUGGAUAACCUACCUAUAAGACUGGGAUAACUUCGGGAAACCGGAGCUAAUACCGGAUAAUAUAUUGAACCGCAUGGUUCAAUAGUGAAAGACGGUUUUGCUGUCACUUAUAGAUGGAUCCGCGCCGCAUUAGCUAGUUGGUAAGGUAACGGCUUACCAAGGCGACGAUGCGUAGCCGACCUGAGAGGGGGAUCGGCCACACUGGAACUGAGACACGGUCCAGACUCCUACGGGAGGCAGCAGUAGGGAAUCUUCCGCAAUGGGCGAAAGCCUGACGGAGCAACGCCGCGUGCGUGAUGAAGGUCUUCGGAUCGUAAAACUCUGUUAUUAGGGAAGAACAAAUGUGUAAGUAACUAUGCACGUCUUGACGGUACCUAAUCAGAAAGCCACGGCUAACUACGUG
rnacentral:rRNA from 1 species